rnacentral:rRNA from 1 species
CCUACGGGAGGCUGCAGUGGGGAAUAUUGCACAAUGGGCGCAAGCCUGAUGCAGCCAUGCCGCGUGUGUGAAGAAGGCCUUCGGGUUGUAAAGCACUUUCGGCGGGGAGGAAGGCGUUAAGGUUAAUAACCUUGGCGAUUGACGUUACCCGCAGAAGAAGCACCGGCUAACUCCGUGCCAGCAGCCGCGGUAAUACGGAGGGUGCAAGCGUUAAUCGGAAUUACUGGGCGUAAAGCGCACGCAGGCGGUCUGUCAAGUCGGAUGUGAAAUCCCCGGGCUCAACCUGGGAACUGCAUUCGAAACUGGCAGGCUAGAGUCGUGUAGAGGGGGGUAGAAUUCCAGGUGUAGCGGUGAAAUGCGUAGAGAUCUGGAGGAAUACCGGUGGCGAAGGCGGCCCCCUGGACAAAGACUGACGCUCAGGUGCGAAAGCGUGGGGAGCAAACAGGAUUAGAUACCCCGGUAGUC